rfam:Ictidomys tridecemlineatus contig058527, whole genome shotgun sequence.
GGGGUUGUGGCUCAGCGGUAGAGCGCUCACAUGGUACGUGAGACACCCUGGGUUCAAUCCUCAGAACCACA